AGCAGCCGCGGUAAUUCCAGCUCCAAUAGCGUAUAUUAAAGUUGUUGCAGUUAAAAAGCUCGUAGUUGAAUUUCGGGGCCAAUAUAUCGGUCGUGCCAUCGGUACGUACUGGUAUCAUUGGUUUCUCCUUUCUGACGAACCAUGAUGUCAUUAAUUUGGUGUUAUGGGAAGUUAGGACUGUUACUUUGAAAAAUUAGAGUGUUUAAAGCAGGCUUUAGCUUGAAUACAUUAGCAUGGAAUAAUGAAAUAGGACGUUCGAACCUAUUUUGUUGGUUUCUAGGAUCAACGUAAUGAUUAAUAGGGAUAGUUGGGGGCAUUAGUAUUCAAUUGUCAGAGGUGAAAUUCUUGGAUUUAUUGAAGACUAACUACUGCGAAAGCAUUUGCCAAGGAUGUUUUCAUUAAUCAAGAACGAAAGUUAGGGGAUCGAAGACGAUCAGAUACCGUCGUAGUCUUAACCAUAAACUAUGCCGACUAGGGAUCGGAUGAUGUUAAUUUUUUAAUGACUCAUUCGGCGCCUUAU
rnacentral:rRNA from 1 species